CACGUAGGCACCAAGCGUUGUCCGGAUUUAUUGGGCGUAAAGAGCUCGUAGGCGGUUCGAUAAGUCGGGUGUGAAAACUUUGGGCUCAACCCAAAGCGUGCAUUCGAUACUGUUGUGACUAGAGUUCGGUAGGGGAGUGGGGAAUUCCUAGUGUAGCGGUGAAAUGCGCAGAUAUUAGGAGGAACACCGGUGGCGAAGGCGCCACUCUGGGCCGAAACUGACGCUGAGGAGCGGAAAGCGUGGGUAGCAAACG
rnacentral:rRNA from 1 species